rnacentral:rRNA from 1 species
GACGAACGCUGGCGGCGUGCUUAACACAUGCAAGUCGAACGGUGAAGCGAGUGCUUGCACUCGUGGAUCAGUGGCGAACGGGUGAGUAACACGUGAGUAACCUGCCCAUCACUCUGGGAUAAGCACUGGAAACGGUGUCUAAUACUGGAUACGACCAACCCUUGCAUGGGGUGUUGGUGGAAAGAUUUAUCGGUGAUGGAUGGACUCGCGGCCUAUCAGCUUGUUGGCGGGGUAAUGGCCCACCAAGGCGACGACGGGUAGCCGGCCUGAGAGGGUGACCGGCCACAAUGGGACUGAGACACGGCCCAGACUCCUACGGGAGGCAGCAGUGGGGAAUAUUGCACAAUGGGCGAAAGCCUGAUGCAGCGACGCCGCGUGAGGGAUGACGGCCUUCGGGUUGUAAACCGCUUUCAGCAGGGAAGAAGCGAAAGUGACGGUACCUGCAGAAGAAGCACCGGCUAACUACGUG